rnacentral:rRNA from 1 species
CUCGGAAGCUAAGCAGGCUCAGGCCUGGUUAGUACUUGGAUGGGAGACCGCCUAGGAAUACCAGGUGCCGUAGGCUU